rnacentral:tRNA from 1 species
GGGGAUUUAGCUCAGCGGUAGAGUACUUGCCUAGCAAGCACAAGGCCCUGGGUUCGGUCCCCAGCUCCG